GACGAACGCUGGCGGCGUGCUUAACACAUGCAAGUCGUACGGUAAGGCCCUUUCGGGGGUACACGAGUGGCGAACGGGUGAGUAACACGUGAGUAACCUGCCCACAACUUUGGGAUAACGCUAGGAAACUGGUGCUAAUACUGGAUAUGUGCUCCUGCUGCAUGGUGGGGGUUGGAAAGCUCCGGCGGUUGUGGAUGGACUCGCGGCCUAUCCGCUUGUUGGUGGGGUAGUGGCCUACCAAGGCGGCGACGGGUAGCCGGCCUGAGAGAGUGACCGACCACAUUGGGACUGAGAUACGGCCCAGACGCCUACGUGAGGCAGCAGGGGGGAAGAUUGCACAAGGGGCGCAAGCCUGAUGCAGCAACGCCGCGGGCGGGAUGACGGCCUUCGGGUUGUAAACCGCUUUCAGCAGGGACGAAGCUUUUUGUGACGGUACCUGCAGAAGAAGCACCGGCUAACUACGUG
rnacentral:rRNA from 1 species